GCCGAACUGGCCGCGUAACUACCUAAAACAGGCGGCGGGACUACCGGGACCUGCGGCGGCGGCGGCGGCGGCAUGGCGGUAGGCAGUACACCCGCCUCUGUGGCACCUACAAAUUCAUCAGGAAAAUGGGAAUUCUGAGCAGCAUAUUUUGACUUUUUCUCCUGACAAAUCCUGAGGUUCACAUACAAGGC